CCUACGGGUGGCAGCAGUGGGGAAUAUUGGGCAAUGGACGCAACUCUGACCCAGCAACGCCGCGUGAAUGAUGAAGGUCUUCGGAUUGUAAAGUUCUGUGAUGGGGGAUGAACACAAUGACGGUACCCCAAUAGCAAGCCACGGCUAACUACGUGCCAGCAGCCGCGGUAAUACGUAGGAGGCAAGCGUUAUCCGGAAUGACUGGGCGUAAAGGGUGCGUAGGUGGGUUUGUAAGUUGGCGGUGUAAUUCCGGGGCUCAACCUCGGAGCUGCUGCCGAAACUGUUCGACUAGAGUGCAGGAGGGGUAAGUGGAAUUCCUAGGGUAGCGGUGGAAUGCGUAGAUAUUAGGAAGAACAUCAGGGGCGAAGGCGACUUACUGGACUUUAACUGACGCUGAGGCACGAAAGCGUGGGGAGCAAACAGGAUUAGAUACCCGUGUAGUC
rnacentral:rRNA from 1 species